rnacentral:rRNA from 1 species
GACGAACGCUGGCGGCGUGCUUAACACAUGCAAGUCGAACGAAGAGCGAUGGAAGCUUGCUUCUAUCAAUCUUAGUGGCGAACGGGUGAGUAACGCGUAAUCAACCUGCCCUUCAGAGGGGGACAACAGUUGGAAACGACUGCUAAUACCGCAUACGAUCUAAUCUCGGCAUCGAGGAAAGAUGAAAGGUGGCCUCUAUUUAUAAGCUAUCACUGAAGGAGGGGAUUGCGUCUGAUUAGCUAGUUGGAGGGGUAACGGCCCACCAAGGCGAUGAUCAGUAGCCGGUCUGGGAGGAUGAACGGCCACAUUGGGACUGAGACACGGCCCAGACUCCUACGGGAGGCAGCAGUGGGGAAUCUUCCGCAAUGGACGAAAGUCUGACGGAGCAACGCCGCGUGAGUGAUGACGGCCUUCGGGUUGUAAAGCUCUGUUAAUCGGGACGAAAGGCCUUCUUGCGAACAGUUAGAAGGAUUGACGGUACCGGAAUAGAAAGCCACGGCUAACUACGUG